GACGAACGCUGGCGGCGUGCUUAACACAUGCGAGUCGAACGGUGAAGCUCCAGCUUGCUGGAGUGGAUCAGUGGCGAACGGGUGAGUAACACGUGAGCAACCUGCCCCUGACUCUGGAAUAAGCGCUGGAAACGGCGUCUAAUACUGGAUACGAGAAGGGUCCGCAUGGGCACUUUCUGGAAAGUUUUUCGGUUGGGGAUGGGCUCGCGGCCUAUCAGCUUGUUGGUGAGGUAAUGGCUCACCAAGGCAACGACGGGUAGCCGGCCUGAGAGGGCGACCGGCCACACGGGGACUGAGACACGGCCCAGACUCCUACGGGAGGCAGCAGUGGGGAAUAUUGCACAAUGGGCGAAAGCCUGAUGCAGCGACGCCGCGUGAGGGAUGACGGCCUUCGGGUUGGAAACCUCUUUCAGCAGGGAAGAAGCGAAAGGGACGGUACCUGCAGAAGAAGCACCGGCUAACUACGG
rnacentral:rRNA from 1 species